ensembl:lncRNA novel transcript, antisense to MED26
GUAGAUGCGCUUCCGGCGGAGCCGAGGCCGGAAGCGGAAGAAGGGGACACAGACCUGCGUCCAAGCUGUGCCACCUGAGACGUGGGCGGUCCCAGUGACCGGGAGCCGGAGCUCGAACGGGACGGGCGAACAGAAGCGCGGAGGGCUUCGCAGCGUCGGCGUCUGUGCGUGGGCCAAACAUCAGGGCCUCGACCAGGGAUACAAGGGCAACCGCUAACUAGAUUCCUGAUUCCUGAUGGCUGGCGGCGGCUGACACCAAAGGUAAAAGGCCUUUUAGGGAAAGAAACCAUUUGUGAAAAGCUCUUGGGCUAAACUCGCUCUGCAAACUGGGGGCGCACGCUCGUGGCCAAACUCUGGCAGUGGGACUAUCCCGGAGCACCCGAUCCCUGGAAUCAUGUUCUGGAAACCACCGCGACGUGCGCAGUUCUCGGGCGUGGCCCUGGUAUCAUCCCACUGAAUCCUAGGAACGCGGUGCGGUAGGUAUCACUGUCCGCAUUUCACAGACCGAAGUCCAGAAUGGGGAAGCGACUUGUCUUAGGCUUCCUGGCCACACUGGGGACCGUGGUCAUGGUAGCGUCCUUGGACACCUGUCUCCAAGGCUCUGCAGAAGGGGGAGGUGCCGGGCCCUGACGGCUGAUGUCCAAGGACCAGCCGGGAUGGACCAGCCCCAGGAGGCCCCAGUGGAGGAAAACAGGACGAGGUUUUCAGUAAGAUGAUCUUAUACUAAUUCAAGGGCUAUAAUUUGUUCUCCACAUCGUGUGCCUCCAACUUUUUCGGGGAAAGGGUGUUAAAAUUCCGUUACAGUGUUUUUACUUGUCAAAUUAGAAGCAGCAACCGGCUGGGUGCAGUGAGUCAAGCUUGGAAUCCCAGCACUUUGGGAGGCCAAGGUGGGCGGAUUGCUUGAGCUCAGGAGUUGGAGAUCGUGGCAUCGAUAACAUGGCAGAACCUCAUCUUUGCAAAAAAUACAAAAAUUAGCCAGGCGUGGUGGCGCACGCCUGUGGUACCCACUACUAGGGAGACUGAGGUGGGUGGAUCGGCUUGAGCCCAGGUCAAGGUUCCAGUGAGCUAUGAUGGCGCCACUGCACUGCAGCCUGGGUGACAGAGCGAGACCCAGUCUCAAAGAAAAGUAGAAAGCAGCAACCCAACUUGGCUCCCCAAAUGUUGGAAGGUAUCUUAGCUUAUCCUUGCAUUCUCAAAGGCCCUAGGCCCUUCUGGAUACAUGGACACAGGCAUGGUAGUCCCUGCAGGCAGGGGUAGUGGGGAGCUGCAACCUAUCCCAAAACUCUAGAGAUGCUGAUAGGAGGCCAAGCUCUGCACCCUAAUAUCCUCCAGCUGUACCCUCUGUGGAUCAGAGUAAAGUCACAUCCUUGGGACACCAUGUCUCAGCAGAGCUGUUAAACAUAGGCACAGUGAAAUUAGGAAAGUAUAACUAUAGGCACCCUACAGCACAGCUGAGUGUCAGAUACUUCCACUGACACACUGACAUGCUUUGUGUUUUAGUUCUCACAACUCUGGGGUAUUCUCACCCCCCAAAUGGGGACAUGUGCACAGGAGUGAAGAGAUGAGCUCAGAGCCACACAGCUGGUGGGUGGUAGGCCUGGGUUCAACCUCAUCCUGCCUUCAAAGCCACUUUGCCCAUGGCCUUUUGUUGGGGAGGGGAGUGUGUUCUGCACCAAGCUUUUGCCAGGAAUCCCUGCUAGCUCUCAAACUGGCUCUGGACUGACUGUAGUCUUACAGGCUGGAAGGAACCUUUGGUUUGCCCUGUGAGACUGCAUGUCUUAAGGUGUAGCUGUUUCUUCAUUUGUGAAAUUAAGCAGAUAUGGGUAAGAUGACCUAUUCCAAAGUGAAAAACUGGAAAACCAAAGUCUUAGCCUACAGUUUCAGGGACGAGGGGGAACUAAAAGAUGAGCACUUUAUAGUCAAGGGAGAAAAAUUUUUUUGGAGUCAGCACCAACCAGCUAAUAAGGCAGCUGGGGGCCAGGGCCAUGGGGUGGCCUUUCAGACACACACACACAGCUCUGAGCCUCUGGGCCAUACCUUGUAAGAACUAGGUAUUUUGUUGAGGUGGGGGUAGUCACUGAGACCUGUGCUAUGGGAGCCUCCUACAGAGGGCUGCUCUCUAGGCCAGGUAAAGUCUGGGUGAGACAAGAAAACAUUCCUUAAUGUGGCCCUGAAUGAAUAAAAUGUGGAGGUCCUCCCAAAUGCAGCAGCAGGCUAACAGGUGGACUGCAAGGCUGUGCCCUGCCCUGUCUCCCUGCAUUGCAGCUGUUGGGGUCUGGGUGUUCCUGGCUAAUAAUCCACAAUCCAGGAAAGGGCUGAUUUGGUUGUGAAGGUCCAAAUGAGAAAAGAUUCUCAGACUGGUUUGUGCAAAUGGUUUUUUUUUUUUUUUUAUUUCCACAUUUAUAUCACAAGGUGUCCACUUACUGGACCAAAUAGCAAAGUUGCUCCCUUCUGCGUCCUGAGAACACAGAAGUCUAGGUACUGUACAUUCACUAAGGCUCCUUGUUUUUGCAAAUCGCGUUUAUGACAAAUAACCAUAAGGCAAACGAAUCUAAAGGAAUGGUUAUGAGUGUUUCCAGCGUACAGACAGGUCUUCCCCCUCGCCCCACAGUACAGCAUAAAACCAGUAGCACCCACAAUAACUUUUGUGUUGUUUUGGGGGGACUCUAGAAAGGUGAAGUUUUCUAGAUGUGUACAGGAAGGGAAAAAAGAAAAGGGAGGAAGAAAGGAAAGGUUUUUUUGUCUGGUGGUCUGAUGGAAGAGGAAUUGUUUAAAAUAAACAUGAGAAAACUU